AGCUUUGCACAGUGGCAGUAAUCAUAGCCAGUGAGGUUUAUCUGAGGCAUGAUUAUUGCUAACUGAAAACUAAAAGGACUCAACUCACUAGAAACACAAAACAGCCACAAAUGCUACCACACAUGUAAUUUUAAAGUUCCUAGUCAC